rnacentral:rRNA from 1 species
UGGGGAAUUUUGGACAAUGGGCGAAAGCCUGAUCCAGCAAUGCCGCGUGUGUGAAGAAGGCCUUCGGGUUGUAAAGCACUUUUGUCCGGAAAGAAAUCCUUGGCUCUAAUACAGUCGGGGGAUGACGGUACCGGAAGAAUAAGCACCGGCUAACUACGUGCCAGCAGCCGCGGUAAUACGUAGGGUGCAAGCGUUAAUCGGAAUUACUGGGCGUAAAGCGUGCGCAGGCGGUUUGCUAAGACCGAUGUGAAAUCCCCGGGCUCAACCUGGGAACUGCAUUGGUGACUGGCAGGCUAGAGUAUGGCAGAGGGGGGUAGAAUUCCACGUGUAGCAGUGAAAUGCGUAGAGAUGUGGAGGAAUACCGAUGGCGAAGGCAGCCCCCUGGGCCAAUACUGACGCUCAUGCACGAAAAGCGUGGGGGAGCAAACAGGAUUAGAUACCCUGGUAGUCCACGCCCUAAAACGAUGUCAACUAGUUGUUGGGGGAUUCAUUUCCUUAGUAACGUAGCUAACGCGUGAAGUUGACCGCCUGGGGGAGUACGGUCGC